rnacentral:rRNA from 1 species
UUUGAUCCUCGGCUCAGAUUGAACGCUGGCGGCAUGCCUUACACAUGCAAGUCGAACGGCAGCACGGGGGCAACCCUGGUGGCGAGUGGCGAACGGGUGAGUAAUACAUCGGAACGUGUCCUGUAGUGGGGGAUAGCCCGGCGAAAGCCGGAUUAAUACCGCAUACGCUCUACGGAGGAAAGGGGGGAUCUUAGGACCUCCCGCUACAGGGGCGGCCGAUGGCAGAUUAGCUAGUUGGUGGGGUAAAGGCCUACCAAGGCGACGAUCUGUAGCUGGUCUGAGAGGACGACCAGCCACACUGGGACUGAGACACGGCCCAGACUCCUACGGGAGGCAGCAGUGGGGAAUUUUGGACAAUGGGGGCAACCCUGAUCCAGCAAUGCCGCGUGUGUGAAGAAGGCCUUCGGGUUGUAAAGCAC